UUCAGACCUAUACAGUUGUGAGAUAAACUGAUCCUGUUUUAAGCCACUAAAUUUGUGGCAAUUUGUUAUGGCUGCAAUAGAAAACUAAUACUCAAGUAAGUAUUUUCUUAAUUUAUAUUUCAUUCUAAAUAUUUUUAUUAGCCAAGAUAGAUUAAAAAAUUGAAGAAAAUUAUUUUAUCACCGUUCUAGCUUUUCAUUUCCUCACAUCAAUUUUACCACUAAAAAGGAAACCUAAUGUUUGACUAGAUUCUGAGCACUGAGGAAUGCCAAUUUUGAAUUUGUAAGUCUUUUGCUCUUAAACAUGUUUUUAAAAUGCCAUUUUCUCUAAGAAUAUUUUAUAUGAAAAUUUUGACUCCAUUGAAUGCAAUUUAAUAUAAGGGUCUAUAUAUGCCAAAUAGACCUGAGUGUUUCUGCACUAUACUGAAAUAUUACUUCAUUAUAUGUAGGAUCAGCUGGUGCUUACAGGGUUUGUGGACAGCUAGAAUGCUGCAUGAGCUCGUUUCUUUGGAAUAUUCCUAUUCAGUGUAUCUCACAUCUUCUGAAAUAUUUCCCAUGGGAAAUGGAGGAGCAGCAGGAAUGAAAAUCCUAGCUGAGUGAAUUCCAGACAAUUCUCCAAGUUUAAUGAAUAUUUUAAACCCACGGUUGAAACCCAAUACUCAAGAAAGAAGAUUCCUCUCAAAAUAUUACUGCUUAUUGAUAAAUGCAGCUGGUCACCAAAGAGCUCUGACAGAGAUGUAUGGGAUUAAUGUUGUUUUCAUACCUACUAACACAACAUUCACCUGCAGCCUAUGGAUCAAGCUUCUACAACACCUCAGCCACUGGCAAUCAAGAAUAAUUCAAUGGGGGGAGUUAAGAUGGCAGAGGAGUAGGGGACCCCUUUCUCAGCCGGUCCCCUGAGUCGAGCUGGAUAGGUACCAGACCAGCCUGAACAUCCACGGAAUCAGCCUGAGACGCAGGAAGAUAC